rnacentral:ribozyme from 1 species
ACAAGCAACGGCUGCAAUGGCUGCAAUCAGCAGCUCUUCAGAGCUCCAUUCCCAGCUCUCCUCCAGAAAUGUUCUAUUUUUCUGGGCGUCAUGGCACGAGCCCUGCCAACCAGGAGGGCAA